UACGUAGGGUGCGAGCGUUGUCCGGAAUUAUUGGGCGUAAAGGGCUCGUAGGCGGUUUGUCGCGUCGGGAGUGAAAACCAGGUGCUUAACACCUGGCUUGCUUUCGAUACGGGCAGACUAGAGGCAUGCAGGGGAGAACGGAAUUCCUGGUGUAGCGGUGAAAUGCGCAGAUAUCAGGAGGAACACCGGUGGCGAAGGCGGUCUGCUGGGGUGAGGCUGACGCUGAUGCGCGACACGGUGGGGAGCAACG
rnacentral:rRNA from 1 species